CCCCUGGCGGGGGGGCGGGGUCGCUUCACUGAAGUGCGGUGGGGAAAUGGCAGGAGGGACGUUCAGGAGUAACGAGCAAUAAGCGGAAUAAUUGUAGGGGAAAGGGACCUGGGGGUCCUGGGGACAGCAGGGUGACUAUGAGCCAGCACUGGGCCCUUGUGGCCAGGAAGGCCAAUGGUACCUGGGGUGUACGAGAAGGGGGGUGGUCAGUAGGUCAGAGAGGUUCUGCUGCCCCUCUACUCUGCCCUGGUGAGACCACACCUGGAAUAUUGUGUCCAGUUGUGGCCCCUCAAUUCCAGCAGGACAGGGAACUGCUGGAGAGAGUCCAGCGCAGGGCAACAAAGAUGCUGAAGGGAGUGGAGCAUCUCCCGUGUGAGGAAAGGCUGAGGGAGCUGGGGCUCUGGAGCUGGACAAGAGGAGACUGAGGGGUGACCUUAUUAAUGUUUACGAAUAUGUAAAGGAUGAGUGUCAUGAGGAUGGAGCCAGGCUCUUCUCAGUGACAACCAAUGAUAAGGCAAGGGGUAAAGGGUUCAAACUGGAGGUUUUGUGGUUUUGUGAAAAACUGUGUUUUUCAAACACAGGAGGUUCCACUUAAAUAUGAGAAGAAACUUCUCAGUGAGGGUGGCAGAGCCUGGCCCAGGCUGCCCAGGGGGUUGUGGAGUCUCCUUCUCUGCAGACAUUCCAACCCGCCUGGACACCUUCCUGUGUAACCUCAUCUGGGUGUUCCUGCUCCAUGGGGGGUUUGCACUGGGUGAGCUUUCCAGGGCCCUUCCAAUCCCUGAUAUUCUGUGAUACGUCAACAUCUGUGCUUAAUCUCUACAGUACUACAGAAACAGAGGUCACUGGGUGUUGAUUUAGCUGAUGGCUGUAGUUUUAAAAGUUGUAGGAGUCUGGUGAAUGUGGGUGAGGCAUGGUGAAGAUACAUGUGAUACUGCCAACUUUCUUGAGUAUAUUCUUGUGUAGUUUUCUUGCAAAGUCACAUUGUAAAGAAACCUGGACAAUAUGUCUGUCCCUUCAUGUCUGGGAAAGGAAUAAUAAGAAUUCUCACAAAGUUAUUAAUAAAGCAGUCGUAUCUGUCUGGUUUUGUACAUGCAGUAUUUUAAGUUAAAGCUCUGGAUUCCAUUACAUUUUUUAGCAGUUAAAUAUGAGAUUGAUGCUGCUUUCUCUGCUACAUGAAAUAGCUAUGGACAGGCUGGAGAUGGUCCAGUGAAGGGCCACAAAGAUGAUCCAAGGACGCGGAAGCUGCCAUAUGAGGAAAGGCUGAGAGAACUGGUCUUGUUCAGCCUUGAGGAAAGAUGCGCAGGGGAGACCUUGUCUCUGUGUUCCUGUAUUUAAAGGGUGGCUACAAAGAAGGUGGAGACUCCUUUUUUACAAGAAACCCCAUGGAAAAGACAGGAGGCAAUGGGUACAAGUUACUCCUGGGGAGAUUCCAGUGGGACACAAAAGGGAAAUUUUAAAUGAUGAGAAUAAUCAACCAUUGGAUAAUGUUCCCAGCGAAGCGUUGGAUUCUGCAACAUUGGACAUGUUUAAGAUUCAGCUGGAGAGGCACUGGGCAAUCUUGUCUAGACCAUGCUUGUGCCAAGAAAGGUUGGGCCAGAUGAUCCCUGUGGUCCCUUCCAGCCUGGUAUUCUAUGAUGUCUGUGUUGCAGGGAAACAAUUUUUAAAUGUCCGUUCUUGAUACUAUCUAAGGGAGGAUAUAUAUAGAUAUAGAUAUAUACAUAUACAUUUUUUUUUUCUUCCUCAUGCUCACUAACACAACACAUAAAUUAAGGCAAGCUGACAGAACUGGGAAUUUGAACAGUGAGAUGUGAUUAUAUUAGUUUUUAUUUAGGCAGUCUGUUUUGGAAAAUAGAGUAUUUAGGACCAGUAAGGACAAGUUAGCACAGAUUGUUUUAAGAGGCAAAGUCUGUUUAUGCAGAAAGCAGAAAAGAGACAUGAAACAACCAAGAGUUUUUUGAAUAUUUGAAGUGUAUCAAAUGAAAGUAUUUGCAUAAAUUGGAAUGAAGUACAAAUAUUGAUUUAAUUUUCAUGAAGAAUUUCCUUUACAAAUUUCAAAACAAUGUAAUAUAAACAUGUUUGCACUAAGUGCACUUCUAAACACUUCAGAAAUAGUUAUGGGAGUAACUCAUAGAUUUGAACUGCAGUGAUUUCCUACACCUGAGUUUUAAUAUGAGUAAAUUAAACUGCCAGGAAAAUUCAGCAGUAGCUUUUUAUACUUAUGAGUUGAGGUUUUUCUAAAGCUGGAGGGCAAUCUGAAUUAGUUCAGGUGCACUUUACUGGGAUGUUCUCAGAGUUUCUUGGAAUAAUGUAACUCUUGAGUUGUUUUAGAUGCAAAACAUAACUCUAUAAAUCUAAUUUGAUGCUGUGUAAAACCAGGAAUUCUUUCCUUUUUUCUUAACUUUUUUUUUUUUUUUUUUCCCUUUUCUUUCACUGUGUUGAGUUGACCGUACAAGGACAAGUGAAUUGGAAUUUUGCAUCAGAUAAUUCUUGUCCACAUGUAUAUUGAUGUCUUCAUCGGAACUUCAAGAGGUUUGUCAUGCUUGCCUUCUCAUUAUGGAAGCAAAAUCAACACCUCCACCCGGAAUACCUGGACUUGACUCUCUGUGCACUCUGGAUCAUCUCAAGUUGACUGACAGAGGGUCCAGGAAUGCCCUCUAGAAGCAAAAAGACUGCUUGCACUCCUGAGACUGUGUAUCAGAAUGCCAAAUCUGGGAGAGAUGGGGCACCUUGACAGUGAGACGGGCUGCAAGUCCAGCAGGAAAAAACAAAGUUUCAACCAAGAUUACACAACUGUUCUCUCAGAACUAGGCCUGGGUUCAAGUCAGCUGAUCACUGGAGAAGAUUAUCUAGAAAAUUUGAAGUCCCUUGCUCAGGAGUCCCAUAAUAGCCUUCGCUGACUUUCCUUGAGAGUCGUCUUCAUUCCUCAUAAAGCACAAAUAUGGGGUAGUUUUCAGUUUAUGCUUGGAUUUAUGGCAAAGGAGGAAAGAUGAGUUCAUAAGACAAAGUCCAGAUCUGAAUUUAGUCUGUGAUUUAGAUUUGAAGGGAUCAGCAGCAGCUGCUGUCUACGUGAAUUUAUAUUCUUUGAUCAACAAGACAAGCAGCUUGUUGUUUUUCUUACUCCUGUGCCUGUAGCUGUAUGAUCUUAGGAAUGAGUCUUGUCAAGUCUCGGACUUAGUGACACACAAGUUAUUUUGGCCACAGACUACAACAGCAAACACAGGUGCAGAGUGUUCUGCUUAUGUUAAGUGUCUUUCUCUGUUGUUCCUACCAUGUAUUAUUCCUUCCCCUGAGUAAAAACUGCCCUCAACAAUGUAUUCAUGAUUCUCUUUUCUAGAUACAUUGUAAAGAAAAAAAAAUUCGUUAAAAAAUAAUCCCAUGAGAGUUUUUCUAAGCAAUAUGUCAUGGUUUCUAGCUAGAUUUCUGCUUGCCUACAGACAUUUUAUAACCUUCUUAAUUUUACUGACUUAAAUUAUACUGUAUCAUACAACAAUGAAUUGUUUCUAGUCACCAGAUCUCAUUCUAGAGAAGCAGGAAAAGUCAAUCCAUUGUCUGUGUGCAAGUAAACAAACAGAAUCUAUAUGUGCUAUUUGGUAUGGUGCAAGGGCUCUAUUACUGUUCUUUUGGCGUUCAUGUUACUCAGAUAGCAAAGAUACACCCUGAUUAUUUAGCAUGUACACUUUACCAUCAGGACUUCCAGAGGUGCAGGUACUUUAUGAGGAAGGCCAUGUGUGAUAGUUGUUGAUGUGAGACUGUAGUUGCCACAACUUCUGCUGUGUAGGACUUGGGUUGUCACUAGAGUGGCACACAAAAUGAAAGAAGCAAUAUAUAACAAAUAGAUGUUCUUUUUUUUGUGUGUGUGUGUUUGUUGUUGGUUUUUGUUUGUUUGUUUUUUGUUUUCUUUUUCCUUUACACAGAUUGUUUUGUUUCUGUAGUCUUUUUGUCUCAGAACUUUGUGGUAUGGUAAAAUGUAAGGAGUGCUGGGAAUGAUAGAGUUUUUACACAAUACUUCAUGGAGACUAAGAGCUCACAGAACUAAUAAAAACUUAAAAAUACCACAAAUUUUCAAAAUAGCAAUUUUGCAUUCAUUUCAGUAGAACCAGAGCUGUUCUGAAAUGUGACUUGUCAGUCAGUCCAGGACUUUAUAGAUUGUCCUUGGUAGUUAGGUGACAAUCACUGAGAAUUUACUUUCAGUUUUAGCCCUGGAACUGACUGUCCUUUAUAUAGAGACUUAUUGUAUUGAAGUAAAUGUAGCUGGAUGAAUAGUAACCUGUGAACUCUUUUUUCCAAAUGUGCAGUAUGUGAGGAAGCUUUAUCAGCUGGUCACUGCUUUGUUCACUGCUUGGAUGUAACUGUAGCUUUGAGUUUGUUUUUGCUUUUUUGAUUAAUUUUCUCCAAGCCCUUGAUUGUUGCAUAGGUCAAUGAACUGCGUCCCUGCUGCAGAAUGCAUUCUGUUACCCUGUAGCGAAAUGAAUGGUUUGACUUCCUGCUUUCCUGAUACUGGUGUUGGGCUUAUCUCACCUGGCUUCAGCCUGAGUUUUAUGCUGGUAGGAUGGUUGUCCACAUCUGCUGGAAUGGUUAAGGGUAUUGGGAACAUUAAGAAUAAAUGCAACAGAUAGCUCAGGUAGUGUGAGGAAAUGGAAAAAAAUGCUUGGUAUUUAUGUGUGAAUGAAUGAUAAAUUAAAUGUAAUAUGGUAGUAGGUGUGUAUAUAAAUCUGUAUAUACACUGUACGACUUGAUAUGGCUAUAAAAAGCAUAACUGGGCAGGAAAACAACUUAGAGAUUUCCUGCCAGAAUCUUUCUUCACAAGAAAGCAUUAUUUGAUGAAACUGGAGCUGGAGAAAUUUCCUGGGAAAAUGUUUGAAAUACCUCAACAAUACUUUCCUACUGGUAAGGUUUUUUUUUUUUUUUUUUUUUAUUGUUUGAAAUGAAAUUGUACAUCAAUAUUUUGGAUAUUAUAUACCAGAGGAUCUCAAAAUGAUGACCUUUUGCUCUCUGUUUUUUAGGGAAGAAACAAAAAAUGUAUGUAGCUUGACAGGGACUCAUUUGAUUUGGCUUAGUUUCAUUUUAAGUCAAGACAACUUAUUUUUGAGGUCUAUAGAAGUGUCUCUGCUUUACAGCCAUGUCAACAAGAAGAAAAAAAGACUUCCACCAGGACCUGUGGUACCUACAGAGAAGAUGCACGUAGAAAGAUCCUUGAGGUUACAACCUCACAGCUACACUGAGAGUAGAAGCCUGUGGCAGAGCAUUUUGACAGCUGUGCUUCCCUGUGAAGUAGCACCAAGUAUCUUAAAUCAAACAUCAAAACUCUAAAAAUAGUGCAAGCAGUUUAUGCAAUGGGUGAGAAACUCAAAUGUCAGCCUGAAAGAGUAAAAGUAAAUAACUGCAAAACUGCAGUUUUAGGGCUAAAGUGUAUAUAUUAUUUUUUCUCUUUAAAGACAGGCACAGAAUGUUGUCUGUUUCUCUGGAAAAAUGAGAACUCCUCGGUAGGAGGAAGAGUUCUAACAGUAAGACAGUUCAUUUUCCUCCUGUUCCUGUGGAUGUUAGAUAAAAGUGGAGGAAAUCUAAUGUCUGGAAAAGAUGUAGAUUAAAAGUUGGGGAAAAAAAAAUUACCCUGGGCCUCAAAACAAUACGAUACAAUAAUUGUUUGAAGAAAGAUAAAAAUACAUAACCCUAAUACAGAAUAGGAGGAAAUAUAGUGUAAAACAUGGAUCUCAGAAAAUUUGUAGAAUACUUGAUAGCAAACUCAGAGAAUGAUUCUAGAGUUUGUAAGAUGAAGAGCCUGUCUGUUGCCUUCUAUCUUAUUUUGCCAGUUUUAUCCUAGGAAAGUAGAUAGAAAACCUGACCUGUGCUCAGUGUAGACAGAAAUAAAUGACUAAUGAAUGUGAGAGUCAGCGCAUGUUAAUUUGAAAGUUCCUAUACCGAUGACUUAACAUGAAGAUGGAAGAGAAAUUCAGAAGGAGUUUUCAGAGCCUUCCAAUAUUUCCAUUUUCAUUUAAUAUUUGUCUGAGUUAGAGUAAUCAGAAAGAAAUACAAAGCGUAUUUUAUCUCUUAAAAAAAUAUUUUUGUUAUCCCUCCUCCCAGAAAAUAUGGGCAAUGUGGUGCUUGUUUUUACUCUGUGAAGCACUUAAGUCUUUUUACCACCGAAGAAAUGUGAGGAGUUAAUUUUGUCUAUCUCUGGGGAGAAGAAUAUGAAACUCUACCCGUACUAAAAAUAAGCAGUUGUUACUUGAGUUGUCUUUAGUCAGCAUGGUUUUCUGUGGGUUUUGCUCCUAAAACAGCUGCAAAUAGGAACAAGGGUGUUUGGAGUUUGCUGUGUGCAUAUCCAAAUAACCAUUUAACCAUGGAGCCGAAGAAGUCUGUCUUGAUGAAAGGAAGAUGGACAAUCCUGACUGUUCCUACCAAGGAACAUAUGGAUGUGGUGGAAGAAGCUCCAGCUGAGACUGAGUGGUUGUUAGAGUCAGUCUUUGGAAUGAGGGUCACACCAGGGCAACACCAACAUGCCAUUCAGGAUGCAAGCCUGCAACUGGAAGCACUAAUGAAUUCUAUGCAUAAUAUUGCAUAAGCUCUUUAAGUCAUCAGCAACAUGAAUACAGAAGGACUGUCCAAAGCCAGGCCAUAUUGCACUUGAUCAUAUUGAAGGAAAAAGGUGUGUACAGGAAGCCAUGUCUACAUCCUGAGCAUCUGGGUGCCAUUACAAGAACCACUAUGAGGACAAAUAACAGCAGACUCAGGGUCAAUUGUUGCUGUUCUGGGAACAAGCUGGUGAAAAAACUUUCAAUGCAUUUAUUUUCCUUAUCAGGAUGACUAACCAGCCUCCUCCACCAUUUGAUAAUAACUGUAAUUGUUGUAAUUUGCACUAUUCUGUUCUUUAUUAGUAGGUUGACUUGUAAUGAUAAUGUAUAACAGGAAAAUGACACAUAAGGUAUGAUGAUCCACAGUGGGCAUUAAAAGUCACUAACAGAGUUCCCCCUUUUGACUUCAGAGGCAAGAGAUGACUGUACUACAACUCCAGAGUGGCUUGUCAGAUUGUGACUGUGGUCACAGGGUGGAUUGUGUGGCAGUUGCACAUCCCCCUGAGACCUGGAGCCUUCAAUGGGGCAGUUGAUGGCUCCUUAGCACCUUUUGUUGCCCCACUGUGCCUGUCCCCAUGUACACACCUAGGGUGGUACCAAGGUGCUGUUACUCACAUCCUUGGAGCACAGUGACUUCACCUCUGCCAGCUGGUGGGGCAGGAGAGGUGGGACCCUCGGUCAUUUGGCAGCGUCCUCAACAAAGGAGGUGCCCAGAAAAGCUGCAAAGCUUCUGGACUGUGUUGGAAUGCCCACAGCCAGAUGUCACCAGGCUAUAAAACAAGGUCCUUGCUGAAGGCAUCCUUGGGAAUGGUCUUCUCAGAGCAGCAGGUCUUUGAACUGGAGACACUGUCUAAGGAGACUUCCCGGAAUUGAGAGCGCCUUGUUUGAGUGAGUGGUUAUUUACUGGAUAUACCCUUGAAUGAGUCCUUGCCUAACCAGGCAAGUCCUCACCUAACCCAGGCAAGUGAUUAUUUCUUGUGGGUACCCUGGAGUCAGAGGGCUCUGGUUUUGUUUCUUGUGAGUGUGUGCAUGCAUGCUGUGGAUUCUCAUUAUUCUUAUAUUGUUGUACCCCAGUGAUCUCCUCAACUGAUAUCCGAACCUGUAUUUUAUGUCGUCGAGUGCUAAUUGUAUAAACCCUGUUUCUAGUAGUUUCGUUGGUUGCACUUUUCCAGGUAGAAUAAAGUCUGUUUUGAAACUUGUCCACUUAAAACUGACUUUGGGGUGCCUCCAUAGCAAUCAUAUUCAUAAAUUUGAUUCAAUUUUUAAUUGUCUUUCCGUAUGUUCCUUAGGAUAUCUAAUGUGCCACCAUCUGAGCAGGUAUCAUAUAUGUAGAGAUUUUUUUCUUUUAAAGGCGAGGGAGAGAAAGCCCACACGAGGAGUUCACAGCCUUUCAGUUCAGAGGUGAAAACCAGAUUGUAGUGAAAUCAGUAAGAAAAAACUCUAUUGAUUAGUGAGGCAGGAUUUCUAUAUCACUGACAAUUGGCUAGAAGUUCACUAGCUGCACUGACCACUGUAAGACUUUAAUUCCUUAUCAUGUUUUAUCAUCGUCAGGAAGAAUAGCACUAGAACUUUAUGUUUUACAAUUUUUUAAUCAAAUCUCUGAUAAAUAUUCUGGACUAGAAUAAAAAUUAUCUCAAAAUUAUGUGCUUUUACAUAAUGCCACAUAUAAAUGACAUAAUGCCAUAUAUAAAGUGUUUGAAGUUCAAUGGGGAAAAAUUUUCUCAAUAGUAGUUCAUAAGCUGGCAGUUUAUAAUUAAAUGAAUUGAUAAGUUUGGAAGAUACAGAAGAGCUGUGUAAAAUACUCUAAAUAUAAAUCUAAACAGGUUGAAUCCUCUACCAAUGUCAUAGUCUUUGCUGAAAUUAGGUAGUUCAGAAAAACAACCACCAGCACAUGAUAUGGUUUCCCCACAUACAUCUAAAAUGUUCUUUGAUCAUGUAAAGUUCAGGUAGUGAAUUAAAAGUAUGAGAAGUAGUAAACUAGUUCACCUUGAUUCCAGGGGCGGAAGCAAGUGACAGAUGACAGUGUGAAUUAAGCCAACCAGGCAUAUAUGAUAGAGCAUGUAAUACAUAACUGUAGUUAUGCAAGUGUAAGCAUGAAAGUGGCAAAAUUUCUCUCAGCCUCUGACUGUAGCCAUGGGAAAAAUUUAGUUGUAUAUGUUAUCCAUUCUUCAGGUGUUCAAAAAAACAUGCUCUGUGCUCCAAAGCAACUAUUCCACAUAAUGUUAGAAAAUAAACUCAGAAUUUUUGUUACAAAUAAUGUCUCUUUCAUAGGAAUAUACUGAUAAAUAUGUACACAUUCUCUUAAUAUACGCCCAAGUAAAAAUUCUGAACUUCAUAAUAUUCUUCAGUGUUAUUGUUUUACAACUACGGGGUAGUACAUGUCCUGUGAAACGUAGCUGAUAAUAGCAUGGUAGCAAUUGGGCACUGCUUCAAUUUCACUUGAAAAUUAAGGUUACUUUUUCUAAGAAAGAAUGGAAGCCUGGAGACUAUUUCAAUUUGUAUUCUUCAGCUGCUCUCCUUGCAAACAGUCUUGCAUUUAAGCUGUUUUGAAUGUUGCCUCGUGAGCAUGUACCACCAUAAUCACAAGGAACUCUUAAAUUUGUGCUGCUUGUGCCAGACUGGGAUUUUGAAGGGGCUUUUGUACAAUUUAAUUGGAGUGUUCUUUUCCUUCUAAUUUUCAUAGCUUUUUAUAUACCACUGUUGUGUCUACACCUUUUCUUACCGUUGUUUGCGAAUGAUACAGAAUUAGCAUCCCAAAAGCACAUUUACAUUGUGAGAUGAAAGAGGGAAUCUUACAAUUAACUUUUCAAGUGGUAGAGAGACAACUGAGUAUUCUUGCUGCUCUGGGGUUAUGAGCGGAACAUGCUGCUUACUGGAUUGUUUAGCUAGAAUUUGAAAUAUGCAGGAGAGAUUAAACAGGGGAUGUGUAGUAGUCUGAUUUGCAAAAACUUUCUGAAGAAAUUCACCAAGUGCUCUUAGUGCCACACUCUCACGGAGUUUUACUCAGGCACUGAUGCAAUCAGCUGCAAUAUUUAAUGUUGUAUUCAGCCUAAAUCUGUAAGCCGAGUAAGUCUUCAUCUUUAGGAUGAUUGUUAGAAUAAGAAACGCCUGAGAGUCUUUUUUAAUCACUCUGAACAUGCAGAGAAAGCAGCACUGCAAAUAAAGUUGAGCUGAAUUUUGUAUUUUAGUAUAGAUUUACUCGUGUUAUACGUGAGCUAUACAGAAUAAUUUAGUCCAAACCCUUUCUUCCUUGACUACUGAAUUGUUUUUAGAAGUUUUGAAGUAAAUCUGACAAGGAUAGAAGCAUUUUUGAAAAUGGAUGUUUUAAAAAUUUGUCACUUUGUGCAAAAUAAUGGGGGGCGGGGUGAGGAAAUAAAAGUGUUUUUAAAGUCAGCUUGAAAUAACAUCAUGUUAUUUCUUCCCCCAAUGCUAAAAUAUCACAAUUGU